UUACGUCCACAUCAGGUCGAAACACUGGUUCUCAUACGAUCACGUAACUUAAGCAACGUCGAGCUUGGUCAAUACCUAGAUGAGUGACCAUUUGGGAAUACCAGGUGAUGCAAG